rnacentral:rRNA from 1 species
GACGAACGCUGGCGGCGUGCUUAACACAUGCAAGUCGAACGAAGUGGCGAACGGGUGAGUAAUACGUGAGUAACUGCCCUCCUUUUUGGGAUAAGCCUUGGAAACGGGGUCUAAUACCGAAUACAGGGGGAUGGGCUCGCGGCCUAUCAGCGUGUUGGUGGGGUGAUGGCCUCCCAAGGGGGUGACGGUCAGCCGGCCUGAGAGGGGACCGGCCACAUUGGGCUGAGAGACGGCCCAGACGCCUACGGGAGGCAGCAGGGGGGGAUCGUGCGCAAUCGGAGAAGGCCUGAUGCAGCAACGCCGGGUGUGGGAUGACGGUCUACGGGUUGUAAACGGCUUUCAGCCAUGACGCGGUAGUGGCAGAAGAAGCACCGGCUAACUACGUGCCAGCAGCCGCGGUAAUAC